ACCACCGCCGCACGCGCACUCAUCAGCGCCACCGCCGCGCCGCACCGAAAGCGAAGCGGGGGGAAUGCGCGAUCGCCUCCGCGCCCACCCCCUCCUCCCCGCUACUCCUCCUCCCGUGUCGCCGGCGAUCGAUUCGGCCUGAGGCUGAGCGAGCGAUUGGUAUGUGCUCUCCCCUCCUCCCCACUUCCCCCUUCUCUGUGCGCGCGCGUGGUGCCGAUUCGUAGACGCAUUUAGAAAUCCCCAACCCAACCGAUGGUGGCGCGCAGCAUUGCGCCGGGGCGGCCGUUUCGACCCGCCUACCCGGUUCGCCAACCGGAGGGAGACGAUUUCGCGUUGCCCAUUUUAGUGGGCGGGGUCGGUCCCGCAUUGCUGCGGCAGCGGCUUCGCUCACCGCCGACGAAGCAUCGAUUGGUUGAUCGCUGCAGGCAUCGCGCUCAUUCCUGCGGUUUUGUUACAGCCACACGUAGAUAUGGUGUAGCACCGCGCGGAUGCCUCACGGGCUCACAUCACCCGGUGAUGCUUUAGGUGCCGCUCCCCGGGUGUCGCAUUCCCAGGUCGUCAAAAUCACCGGAAUGUUGUUUGCGUGAUUUCCGUGCAACAUGUUGUACUCGCUGAUCAAAUCCUGAAAGCUUCGCAUAUGGACUUAUGCCUGUUCGAUUUUAGCAAUGAACCCAGCUUGUAGUGCCAUGGCGUCUAGGUCUGCAGCUCAUUGAUACAUUUUUCAGACCAGGCCAUCUGCUGUACUGGACAGCUAUAAAACACCCUGUAUAGAACGCUACUCACCAAGUCAAAACUGAUUGAUGUUAUGUCUGAGAAGUGAAGGCUGAAUUUUAUUCUCCUGGAUUGUAGUUUAUACUAUCCUAACAGGAACAUUGUGUUACUACAUCCUUGUGAUUGAAUUGUAGUUAGCAUGCAAAUUGUGUCACCUUCCCUAGCACCUCACCUGUCUCCACACAUUCAGUAUGUAAUUUAUUGUUCCAGGCCAUUGCUCACAACAUCAAGCCCUGUCUUAUAUCUGACAAACAAACCAAAUAGUUGCUAUAGACAAGUAAAAUUUUGUUACUUGAAAAACUAAAGAAUUCUCCCGAGCAGAUGUAGAGACAGGGCUUGGGCUGCCAGGGCUUCAGCCUGUAGCCUAGGUCCAAAAUUCCAUGGAAGCCUACUUUAUGGAAUUUAGGGGGGCAACAAGGGUACAAAGACUCUGAUUCAGCUCCUUGCUCAGCCCAUACUUUUGCUUCUCCUCUGCUUCCUAAAGGAACAGGGCCCAAUAAAAUUACCUGCAGUUGUGACGUGUACAUGUGAUUUGAUACUAUCAUCUACUUUUACAUGGCAAAAAUCCAAAUACCUUAAUGCUCUCUGGGACCCAUCUGUGUAUCACAAAGACUUACCACCUCUUUGCUGGCACAGUAAUUGCUAAGUCAGUAUAACAUUUUUCUCCACUGUGCAUAUGAUUGCAGCUGAUUGGAUCGCCUAAACAAGCAAAGCAGAAAUUCAAUGGCCACUGUUUCAGCCCUUACUAGUUACUACUGAUCUUAUUUCAAAUACAUUGUGUGAUUAGAAACUAGCUGAUUUGAUUAUGAAUAUCCAUCUCUUUCUCUAAGUCAAAUCUCUGAAGCCAUACUGAUCCAAUCAGAUUUUACAGAUGCUCAGGAUGUUUAUUGCUGUGGAUGCACGAUAUCUGCUUCAUUAGAACAUCUCCUGGAUGAAUUUAUUUGUUAGGUUCAACUAUAAACUACAGAUUUUGUUCAGAAUUGGUGUGACCUUGCAUUUCAAUUACCAUUAUUAAUUAGCUAAAAACCCUCAAUAGAAGGCUGUGCAAGCCUGCGGAACACCUUUUUUUUCCAGUAUGCAGUUGCUUCCAUUCUAUGUAUUCAACCUUGAUGGAAAAGGAUUUAACUUACAAAGCAUAAAAGCACCAUUUGGCUACUACUAUUGCUUCUUAGUUUUUGUUGGAUUAUGAUUCCAGUUUGCAGAACGGGAAUGUGUUGUUUCGUUUAUGAACUUAUUGCACAUUUUUACCUCAAUACAGACCUAGUGGACUGUGAUGUGCGUUCAAAUGCAUGAAAGAGGGUGGAUACCACCAGAUCGUAUGCUGCAAAAAAAAACCCUCUAUAUUUGUGGAUAUUCCCACUAACCUUUUGAUCAUCUGAAUAUGUAAUUUAAUCUAGCAAUCAGAUACAUAUUCUGAUAAGUGAUAAUAUUGUUUUUCAUUUGAUACUCCUGUUUGGGUUUAUCAUUUUUCAUACUGUGUUUGAUAGGAUAGCAUAUAUCAAUGACACAGUUAAAUCAUUGGGAAUCUUCAUAUUUUCCCAUGUCUGUAUCUUGCAUUUCAUUGGUAGUCUGCCUUGGCCAAAGGCGCUUCCAACUAUAUUAUCUGCUUCUUUUGCUCCUUUCCGCCUUAUAGCUUUAGGUCAUCCCUUUUGAUUUAGUGGACCUAAUUCAAAUUCAGUGGCAGAAACAUAAUUUCUCUUUUUAAUAACAUCAAUUUAGCUCUUGAAAUUUAGGUGCUCUCCCUCUCCCUGGUUAUUACUGUGAUUCAUGUGACCAUGGUAACGACUUAAUUGUUGUGGGCUCCACAAGUACUUAUGUACUAUGGAGAGAUUGCUACUUACAUAGUUGCUGAUCUUGCAGGUAAUUGUUGAAAUGUGUACGAGCUUUGACGUCUGUUGCCUGUUGGCACGCAUGUUUGAGUGUGUGGACACAGUUCAACAAUUGAUGAAACUAUUUAUAGUCACAUCUCGUGCAUACGGCCUGUCUCUAAAGGUGUAAAGGGCUAAUGGUGUACUUUUUGAGUGUUAAAAGUAAUAGAACUUAAUUCGACAGCUGCAGGCCCAACAUUGAGUACCUUCUUGCUUACAAAUGCUUUCCAAGUAUGGUUUCAUAUGUUUAUCAUCAUGCUGAUGUCAUAUAGAGGCAACAAACUUUCAGAAUGUUAUUAAGCAGGAAUAUAUCUUAUGCCUUGUCUUGGUGGUUUCCUGCUACCUGUAUAGCACUUUAUUUUCUUCUAAAAAAGGUUCUCAUAUGAUUUUGAAUUGUUUACUUUGCCUUAUGUUCACAUUUUCAGCUAACUAAAGCAGUUUUAUCCAAAUGAAUUUUUAAUUAAGAAAAAAUGAUUCAAUUGUGUUAUGGAUUGUGCCAGAUGGAAUCACUGAACUAUUACUUUUUUUCCGCUAUUCCAUUGGACCACUAAUUAGCAUCAACCUAUGAUACCCUAGAUUCUAACUCAUGUUUAUGUGGUUUGAUUAAUUUUUUGAUAUUGUUCCACUUUUCUGUUAUCUUCCACUCACUAAUGAUGAUGUUAGGUGGAUGCCAGUGUACUACUGUUGGCAAUGUUGAGACUGCAUAUUACAAUGUAACUAAAUGUCUUUUUCACCUGGAAGAGCACUGCUGCUCCUCUGUUGCUAUUUUCAUGUCUUGCUAUUUCUACUUCUCUUUCAUACUUCUUUUUUGCUUUCUGUUCAACUGACAUGUUCAUUUUGAGACACCCAGAUACAUCCAAUAAUGCAGCUUAUUUGUCCGAGUAGACACAGGAUACAAACAAAAAUAAUUGAAGUGCAUAUACCCAUAAGUUGAUACAUCAUGGUAACUCACUGUGUCACUUCUCUCUGGGGAAAAAGCCCUGGUCAAUCAUCACAGUUGGGGUCCGGGGGGAAAAGAGGUGGCACCAUAUGUUCGUAUUCCAGGACGGAGAGCAUCUUCCUUUUGUUUAUCUCUGGCAGCUAGCAGGCUGGCUAGCAAUUCUAAUCAGAAAUUGUUACUUCUCCAGUCCAACAAGAAGCACGUUGCAGGCUCUGAAUGUGUCCGCAAAUUGGUUAAGAAUUGGGCUUCCCAUAAUUGCAAAGAUAAUCGCACAGCUUUGAAUACAAAAAGGGUCCAGUGCAGGAGACAAAUUUCUUGGAGCAUAGUAUUGGAAACGAGCUGGUCAAUGCACAUAUUAUUGUUGGUAUCCUUUUCUUGUCUGACGAAAGAGCGUUUUUAUCCAUGAUUCCAUGAUUAGGAUUGUAACGGCAUCCAUCUGUGCCCAUGUGACGGCGGAUACUCGUCGCCAAUUAAACAAAUGCGCCACGAAUCAAAAGGACUUGCAGUUGAGCUAGGAAAAAGGACCAUCAGGAAAGAAGUGCUCACUGACUACAGAAUCUGGAUGGGAUGACCCUAAUCAGAGGUGAUUGUUAUGACUUAUGAUAUAGAAGGAGGCGGCAUUAUUUUGAGUGGUGAUAAGAGAAGGGAAGGCUGGCGGCAGCAGCAUGGCAAUUAGCAAGGCUGGCACUAGAAGAUCACGGGGAAGGCAAGUUUGACAAAGGAGGCAUCUUUUCUGGGGUCCCCAGGAAGCAUAGGCCCACCCCUCCCUAAUCCCUACGGUGCACACGAUACUUGAGCAUGUGGGUGAGAUGGAACGGACUCAUUGAUUGGCAAAAGGUCGAGGUGCAACUCGUGGACGGCCGGCUUGCUCGGGUCAGAACACCAUCGGAUCGUCCAGCGACUUUUGCAGCCGACAGAUCAAGUGGCCGAUCGAUUAGAGAGAGAGCGACGUAGUGAUGAAUUGAUCAACUAGCGUGCCUGUGAAAAUCACACCGAGAUCUCCCAACUAUCUAGCUCUGUCCUUUACCUUCCUAAUGUGGUACAAUUUGGCAUAAAGUAUUACUACCAUCUCGCCGGAUUUUUAUGUUAAAAAAAGAGAGAGAAGAAGCCGAUUAACUGGUGGCGAAACGUACGAUCGAUACGUGCCGCUCUCUGGACCUCGUCCUUUUCCACGCAAAGAAAUGGACACUGUAUGGACUUUGCUUUCAUGCGACAUAUAUCACUCUCCCCAGCGUCUAGUAUAUCCAUGUAGCGCGAAAGCUGCCCGCGUCCGACCCGCAUUUUUCUUUUUGGCUGCCCUGUUCUUUCACUCUGAUUAGCCGGACACAUCCAGCCGCGGAUGCCACGUCAGAUCGAUCCUUGACCCCUAGCAUUGUAGCAUUGCACGUCUAAUCUGCAUAAUCGCAAGAAGCGGUGAUUUGAAAGAACUAAGAAAAUAAUGUGCAGAGCCAGGUACAGUAAGCUACUCGGGUUAAUUUAAGUCUUUGGCGUGUCGUGUACUCGUGUGCCGCAUGCAUGCACUGGUGCAAGAAGAGUGUAUAAUAAUACACCUCCAGUUGCAUAACAAUGAAGAAAAAAAUGUGUACCUCUUCUUUUAGUGGAAAUGACGUCAUUCAUAAACUUUGAAUUGUGAAGCCU